AUUGAACGCUGGCGGCAUGCUUUACACAUGCAAGUCGAACGGUAACAGGUUAAGCUGACGAGUGGCGAACGGGUGAGUAAUGCAUCGGAACGUGCCCAGUCGUGGGGGAUAACGCAGCGAAAGCUGUGCUAAUACCGCAUACGAUCUAUGGAUGAAAGCGGGGGACCGUAAGGCCUCGCGCGAUUUGGAGCGGCCGAUGUCAGAUUAGCUAGUUGGUGGGGUAAAAGGGCCCCACCAAAGGCGACGAUCUGUAGCUGGUCUGAGAGGACGACCAGCACACUGGGAACUGAGACACGGUCCAGAUCCUACGGGAGGCAGCA
rnacentral:rRNA from 1 species